AUGAGAGAAUUUCAUCCACAGUGGAUUGAAUGGGUCAGAAAAAUCCUAGUGGGAGGUACGGUUAGUGUGAAACUAAAUGAUGAGGUGGGCCCCUACUUUCAAAGCUCGAAAGGGGUGCGCCAAGGGGAUCCAUUCUCGCCCUUUCUUUUUAACUUAGCUGCUGACUGUUUAACCAAGAUGGUACUUAAAGCUCAACAAAAUGGCUUAUUCAAAGGUCUAGCCUCCGACCUGAUUCCAAAUGGAGUAGCUAUUUUACAGUAUGCGGAUGAUACAAUUUUGUGUUUUGAGGAUGACCCUAGAAAUGCUCUAAAUAUUAAGUUGCUCUUAUAUCUCUUUGAGAUCUUGUCAGGCUUGAAAAUCAAUUUUUUUUAA
rnacentral:rRNA from 1 species